CAAUAGCGUAUAUUUAAGUUGCUGCAGUUAAAAAGCUCGUAGUUGGAUUUCGGGUGGGAAUGGCCGGCCCGCCGUUUCGGUGUGCACUUGCUACGCCCACCUUGCUGCCGGGGACGUGCUCUUGAGUUCACGCUCGGGACACGGAGUCGGCGAAGUUACUUUGAGUAAAUUAGAGUGUUCAAAGCAGGCCUACGCUCUGAAUACAUUAGCAUGGAAUAACACGAUAGGACUCUGGCCUAUCUUGUUGGUCUGUAGGACCGGAGUAAUGAUUAAGAGGGACAGUCGGGGGCAUUCGUAUUUCAUUGUCAGAGGUGAAAUUCUUGGAUUUAUGAAAGACGAACUACUGCGAAAGCAUUUGCCAAGGAUGUUUUCAUUAA
rnacentral:rRNA from 1 species